rnacentral:misc_RNA from 1 species
AUGAAUGAUAUAGCACGAGGCGAUAUAACACGAGGUAAUAUACCACAAGGUGAUAUAACACGAGGCGAUACAACACGAGGUAAUAUAUCACAAGAUGAUACAACACGAGGCGAUGUUACACGAGGUGAUAUAACACGAGGCAAUAUAACACAAGGCGAUAUAACACGAGGUGAUAUUACAGAAGGUGAUAUGACACGAGGUGAUAUAACAUGAGGUGAUAUAACACGUAGUGAAAUAGCGUGUAGCAAUGCAGCAUGUAGUAAUCUAUCAGUUCAGAACCUAAAGGGAUUUCUUUGUGGUCAUAUAACGUGUAAGACUAUAAAAUUUAAAUCCCCUACAUAUUUUAUAAAUGCCUCCACUGUUAUCUUAAAACAACGAUUUUUCAUUUAAACAUUAUAAGUCUAGUUAAUACAGUUCGUGGUAUCCAUACGGGAGAACGACAUAGACGCGUUGAUGGAAUCUGUGCCAUAUAUGGCGACGGGAUCCGUGUCAGCGAUAAAACUGUUGAACCAUAAUAUCAACAGAAAGAAGUUCGAGAACUUAUUCGAUCGAAUGUGCAGGCAGUGGGAGAUCUCUGAGAUCAACGGCGAAAUACACGUCCUGAACGAAGUCACUGAGCAGGGAACUAAAAUGGGUGCUCUAUACAGAACUUCCCUAUGGGUGUUUAUGUUACUAUUCUUGUCUCUGCCGUUGUCUGCCCCGAUACUGGACUUUGUUUCACAGUCCAACAAAACUCGAACAAAGAUACCGUUGUUCAAGUUGAAUUACAUCGUAAAUACCGACGACUACUUUUACUUCGUGUAUCUGCAUUCGGUUUGUUGUUCACUGACGAUAGUGAUAGUUAUAAUCGCUAUGGAUUCCUUGUACAUGGUUAUCUUUCAUUACAUCUGUGGAGUAUUUGCUCUGUGCGGGUACCAAAUAAAGAAGGCAGCGGAAAUCAUGGAAAUGGAUAGUACUUUAAGAAAUGAGCGUAAAUAUCAUUUGUUCAAACGUUGCGUGAACACUCAUCAUGAAGCCAUCAAAUUCUACGAGUACAUGGUCGACAGUACUCGCACCAGUUAUCUGUUUCAAGUCGCUCUGAACAUGCUGGGAAUAACUUCAACUGCAGUUCAAGCAGUGAUGAACUUCAAUCGGCCGGAAGAAGCGUUUAGAAUUUUAAUCUUCCUGUUUGGUCAACAGUUUCAUCUGUAUGCUUUAAGCCUGCCUGGCCAAGUACUUCUGGAUCGAAGUUCCGUAUUAGCCGAGGAUAUGAAAGAUAUUUUCAGAUACUUUUCCAAAUGGCACGAAGUACCCGUGAAAUUUCAGAAAGUGCUUCACAUAAUGUUAGUCAGGGCCAGCAAACCGUGUAAGUUGUCAGCAGGAGGAAUAUACGAUAUGAACAUGGAAAAUUUUGGUUCGAUUGUUAAGACGUGCGUGUCAUAUUUUACAAUUCUGUUGUCGCUGAGGGAGUGAUGUCGACAAUAAGAACGUCGCAAGAGGGAAGAAAAUUUAAAUCUCCAAACACCGAUAUUACAUAAGUGCCACCAAUAUUUGCACAAAACACUGCACAAGAAAUUGCACAUAAACAACUGUACCUAACCAAGCCAUAAACUGAAGAACUUAUUACCA